rnacentral:misc_RNA from 1 species
AACAAAAUGGCGGCAGAUUUGGAUUUGAGAAAAAUAGACGAGAAAGCAAUCACAAAUUUACAGGCUCAUGUUCGUGGUGCAUUUGUGCGAUCAAAGCUAGAUGAAGUGCGACAAGAGUUCGAAAAUAUUGUUCACGAAUUGGACGGGCCAAGUUUUCGUGUUUUGUGGAAUUCAAAAACUUUAUCAUUUCCUUUGGUCACAAACAAUAUUGAAAAGGACGAAGAAAUACCCACCUUUGAUAGGCAAACAGGCAAAAACGAGGAAAUCGAGACUGCAGAGACCAGUAGUGAUGAUCAGGACCAAACAAUUACAUUAGAAAAUGUUGAAAACCUAAAUGUUAGCAAAGACAAGCUGACCCACAAUUCAUNUACGGAGUCAGUUAGACAAAAUCUUGAAGGAAGAUUUGACAUGGCACAUACCAAAGAUAUAGAGUGGACUGUUAGCAAAGAAGGCAAAAGAGAUCCUCUAAAUGAUGUUGAUACUUUGUCAGAAGAUUCAAGCGAUUUUGCAUCUGCAAAGGAUUUUGAGAUGUCUAAGCACAAUUUGAAUGCGAAAGAUUCUGAAUAUGAGAAUGCAAAGGAUUCUGGGAGUGGAAAAUUUCAUCCAAUAAAGGAUUCUGGGUACCUUGGAGUUUCUGGGAGUAUCAAAAAUGAUGCCAAAACUGCAUUUUUUGAGGAUGCAAAAGAUUUGGAUAAUGUAAAGGAUUUUGAAAGCACCAGGAAUCAAGAGAACCCUAAUGUUUCAGUGAAAACAAAGGAUUCUGGGCAUUCAAUUGCAAAGGAUCAUGGGUAUCUACAUGCAAAGGAUUCUGGGAGUAACACAACCUCUGUGAACUGCCAAUCAGGAAUGACAAGUCCUGUCUUCUCGCAACAUAGUACACCCGUACCAACACAGAACACUAGAAUUAACAGACACCUUGAGGGACACCCAGUACUUACAGAGAGUUGGAUGACUGACAAGUCCUUUGACCCAGUCAGAAGUGAUGAAGCAAGCANCAUAUCAGACCUGUCUGUCAGCGACUUACAACAUAGACGAGAGCAGGUUUCCAUGGAGUUGCUAUGGACACAGCAGGCUAUUGAGAGUCGGAAAAACUACCUGAGACUUAAAAAGAAAAUAGAACAGAGGACUGACUCAGAAUAAGACUAAUCCUAAGGACAACUGAGUCUUGAAAGGGACAAAAAUGGGAAGAAAUAGAACAAAAGCCUGACUUAGAAUAAAACUAAUCCCUAAGGACAAUUGAGUCUUAAAAGAGAAAAAUGGGAAGAAAUGGUCAAGGAAGUUUGAAACACAGUGUAUCAUGGGAUAUCUGUUUAACCACAAGGCAUCUUGGGUAAUCUGGAGACUUUAAUGUAUAUCAUUGACUUAAGAGUGUCGAAAGAUUGCAUCGAUCAGUAGAUCACAAUGGUAGUAAUUGUUUUGAAUUGUGGUUUUAAUUUUAAAAAUGAUAGAAUGGCAGUCAAAAAUUUCAGAAGGGAGUAGAAAGUAAGAAAUAAUGGAUCUGGCAGGAAACAGUUUUAACACAAUUUACUGAACCAAUAUGUAUCCGAACG